UACGUAGGGGGCAAGCGUUGUCCGGAAUCAUUGGGCGUAAAGAGCGCGUAGGCGGCCCUGUAAGUCCGCUGUGAAAGUCAAGGGCUCAACCCUUGGAUGCCGGUGGAUACUGCAGGGCUAGAGUCCGGAAGAGGCGAGUGGAAUUCCUGGUGUAGCGGUGAAAUGCGCAGAUAUCAGGAGGAACACCGAUGGCGAAGGCGGCUACCUGGACCAGCACUGACACUGAGGCACGAAAGCGUGGGGAGCAAACAGG
rnacentral:rRNA from 1 species